rnacentral:rRNA from 1 species
AAAUUGAAGAGUUUGAUCAUGGCUCAGAUUGAACGCUGGCGGCAGGCCUAACACAUGCAAGUCGAACGGUAACAGGAAGAAGCUUGCUUCUUUGCUGACGAGUGGCGGACGGGUGAGUAAUGUCUGGGAAACUGCCUGAUGGAGGGGGAUAACUACUGGAAACGGUAGCUAAUACCGCAUAACGUCGCAAGACCAAAGAGGGGGACCUUCGGGCCUCUUGCCAUCGGAUGUGCCCAGAUGGGAUUAGCUAGUAGGUGGGGUAACGGCUCACCUAGGCGACGAUCCCUAGCUGGUCUGAGAGGAUGACCAGCCACACUGGAACUGAGACACGGUCCAGACUCCUACGGGAGGCAGCAGUGGGGAAUAUUGCACAAUGGGCGCAAGCCUGAUGCAGCCAUGCCGCGUGUAUGAAGAAGGCCUUCGGGUUGUAAAGUACUUUCAGCGGGGAGGAAGGGAGUAAAGUUAAUACCUUUGCUCAUUGACGUUACCCGCAGAAGAAGCACCGGCUAACUCCGUGCCAGCAGCCGCGGUAAUACGGAGGGUGCAAGCGUUAAUCGGAAUUACUGGGCGUAAAGCGCACGCAGGCGGUUUGUUAAGUCAGAUGUGAAAUCCCCGGGCUCAACCUGGGAACUGCAUCUGAUACUGGCAAGCUUGAGUCUCGUAGAGGGGGGUAGAAUUCCAGGUGUAGCGGUGAAAUGCGUAGAGAUCUGGAGGAAUACCGGUGGCGA